UACAGAGGGUGCAAGCGUUGUUCGGAAUUAUUGGGCGUAAAGCGCGUGUAGGCGGCUUUGCAAGUCGGGUGUGAAAGCCCUCAGCUCAACCGAGGAAGUGCGCCCGAAACUGCAAGGCUUGAGUACCGGAGAGGAUGGCGGAAUUCCCCAAGUAGAGGUGAAAUUCGUAGAUAUGGGGAGGAACACCGGUGGCGAGGGCGGCCAUCUGGACGGAUACUGACGCUGAGACGCGAAAGCGUGGGUAGCAAACAGGAUUAGAUACCCCGGU
rnacentral:rRNA from 1 species